GCACAAUAACCACUACUGCUCCAGAGUAAGUAGUCAAACCGUUUAAAAACAGUUUGACAACUUACCUGGGGUCUGCUGGGAUAUGGGGCUGUAGUAGGGAAUAGGAGCAGUGGUGCAAUGUAUGUGAAAGGUUCAGUGUGUGUGUGGGGGUGUAGUGUGUGAAUGUGUAGGGUGUGUGGGCAGUGUAUGUGUGUGGCAAUGUUAGUAUGGGGGCUGUGUAUGGGGGUCUGUGUGUAUAUGGGUGGGCAGUGUAUGUGUGUGUGUGAGGCAAUGUGUGUAAAUAUGUAUGGUGUGUAUGGGGGCAGUGUGUGAAUGUGUAUGGUGUGUGUGUGUGGGGGCAGUGUGUUUAUGGGGCUAGAGUUCACUCUCACCACUGCGACCACCAGGAAUCCAUUGGGGUUACAGUGUUGAGAGUGAACUCUAGCCCGUAGCUCCAGGGCUAGAG